AUCGCUUCUUGGCCUUUUGGCUAAGAUCAAGUGUAGUAUCUACCAGUUAAGCUCAAGUCUUGGCAUGUCCACUCUUUGGGGACAUUAUCCUGCCCUGGCAUCAGGCUGGGCUGGGUGACCUCCU
rnacentral:snRNA from 1 species